AAAGAGUAAGCGAGCACAGCAGAUGAAGACCACUGAUCUGAAGCCGGGAUCUGAAGACGUGUCGUAUUCACCUGCCAGGCAAUUUAUUAUCUUCCAAAAUACUUACUUUGAUUAUUUCAACAGAAGACCUACAGCUAACUUUAAAGCUCUAAUCUUUAAAGUGAGGGGAGGAGAGUGGAUCGCAAUAGUAGGCCAAUAAUUGCCCAUCGACACAAAAGCCUGGAAACUCUUCUGCACAACUUCUAUCCCAGGGGGAAAUAAUUUUGGAUAACCAUCAUGAGGCAACUAAAGGGCAAAGCGAAGAAAGAAACGAGGAAGGAGAAAAGGGUGAGAAAACAAGAGAACUUGGACAAUAAGAGAAAUAUUUUGUAUAUUGUGCUUCCAACCUUCGCUCUGAUUGCCUGUGCGAUUAUCUUCUAUGUGUACUACAAAUCGAGACCCAAGAUUGCUGUCGAUCUUUGAGAGUUCUUAUUGAUACAUUAUACAGGUAUUAAGGAGAAAUUUACAUCUUUGAAAGAUAAGAAAACUUUGCUUCUAUGGGGUACUACUUGGUGACCAAGAUUACUUGCUAUAUUUUUCAGUAUGAAUAUCAAAUAUCAAAUCAUUCUCAAAACCUAACAGAUAAAGGGAUAUUUUGCUUCAUUUUCUGCAUUGGAGAAAUGGAGGAGUUGUCCCCAGUCCUUACCCUUAUGGCCUAUGUAUGCCCUAAAAAGUUAAUCUUGUGAAGUAUAUGAAAUAAAUAUAUUUUAUUUAAUAAAUGAUUUUGCAUUGAUCACAUCAUGCUUAUCAUUUUGUUUUGUACAACGCCUACUUAGCUUGUUGUACGCGAGCAAAUGGGAGGCUGAAUGUCAAACAUUCGUACCGUUGCACAAAAGACGUACCAUCCAAAAUGUACCGUCCAAAAUGUACCGUUGCACGGCUUUAGGAGGUGACGUCACAAUACGAUUCAAUUCAUUGCGCUCAGUAAAAAUGCAGGUGCAAUACGCGUAUAGCCUGCUGGCUAAAUGCGCAAUGCUGCCCGAGGCGUUCACUUGUGGGAUUUUGCUUUUCGCUUUCCAUAUUUUUGCUCCCUUUCCAUAGAUUACUGCAGGAAAAACUCUUUGUUUUUUCAUAAAUUCGCUAAACUCCGAGGCGUUGUACAACACAAAUAGCGAAUAUUCUUAUUCGUGCAAUGGUGCGAGAUUUCGCAUUCGGUGAAAGAAAGAAACACUCUAUUCAACUCGGCUAACGCCUCGUUGAAUAGAGCAUCUUGCUUUCACCUCCUGCGAAAUCUUGCACCAUCGCACUCAUGCCUUUUCGCUAUUUGUAUAAUGUUUAUCUCCCAUCAUUUUAAGGAAAGUUACAUUUAUGGGUGGCAGUUGAAAAUCAUAUGGGGGGGGGGGGGUCUUUUUUGUUGUUUUUCAUUUGUUACCAUCAACUUUCAAUGGACUUCAAAUUGAUUUAGUUUAUGUUUUAAAUCAAUAGUUUGGGGAUUGUACAUUUCAUUUGUCAAAAAUAUCCAACAUGUUAUUCCUUAUUUUGUGGGUUAAAUAUUUAUUUUCAUUUCGAACUUUAGAGUCAAUUUAUUGAUAUACUGUAUACAGUAUUUCCAUUUGAGGUCACCAGAUUUGAAAAUGACUUUGAAUAAAUUCAGUUUAAAUUUUAUGUUAAUAGUUUGAGGUGUAACAUGUACAUUUCAUUUGAAAAUUGAAAGCAUUCGAUAUGGCUCAUGACACUGCCAUUACUUAUUUACUUGUAAACUUUUUUUUUAAAACUUUAAAGAUGAUAUCAAUUACCUGAAUCGUUCCAAAGGCCAUAUGCACUGCACACAGAUAAGCAUGUGUUAGACUACACCCAAGCAUUUGUUCCGACAGUUAUAAUUGCUCUGUGCUAUAUUUUAAUGUGAUGAAAUUUUAAGUGUAAUCCUGAUUUUUUUAUUGUAUUCUACCAAACUAUAAAAGGAAUUUGAAAGCCCAUAAUGAAUAGUUCAAUCUUCUCCACAAUCUCCAUAAAUUUAUCUUCAACAAUGUAGGAUUUCAAGAGAAGGAUUUAAUAUUAUUUUUUCAUGUGCAAUAAUAUUGGACAUAAUUAAUGUUUUGCCAAACGUUAAAUACAUUCCACUGGGCAUGUAUUGUUUCUUGUGAAUGCAAAAUUGUAACUUCACACAUCUUCGCAUAUGUGUUCUGAUAAUUCAUUACUAUUGAUAUAUCUUUGUCUUUUAAACUUAUAUUUCGUUUUAUUAUAUAGGUUUUAGACUGUGUUUGUGUUACACUUGUUAGUUUUUUUUUUAAAUCUUCUUUCACUAUUAGUCCACCACUGGUGGAUGCUUUUUAUUUUCUGGUUUAAUCCCAUGUUGACUGACUUUAAAAGAUCUUUUUGAUUGACAGAUUGUGAAAAUAUUUCGAUAUUCAAACACUGUAGAAAAUGAAUACAAAAGGUGACAACUUGCUAGUUUGAGAUCCUUCUAAUUCCAGAGUAUGUUUCAAUAUUGUGAACAAAAUUCAUACAAGUUGCUUUGCAGUUGGUGAAAAUCAAAUAGGCACUGUCUUAGGUAGGUCCAGUUUAAGGUAUGUUUGGCCAUAAUGAACACAUUUAAAGCAGAAGUGAUAUUAUACAGUUAGCAAUAUUAUUCUUUAUUUCCAACAUGUUUUGUAAUACUAGUGAAUGUAUGCAAAAUGCUUGUUCCUAGGAAGUCUUUCAGGGAGCAUCUUUUCACUAACAAAUUUGCUGUGAUCCAAUGGAUUUCAAGGAUCUCAUAUUACAGAUAUCAGUGAAAACCAAUGACUAAUUGCUUCGUGAAAUGCGCCCCUGUUUUUCUUUCUUUCAUUCCCCAACCCACACAAAUGAAGUGCUUUAUUAUUUAUAUUUUAACCCACUCAAAAUAUAUUAUUAUAUAAGUUGCAUGCUAUGAACAUGUUUAAUUGUGAAUUUACCAUGUUGUAAUUUUUAAUUCUAUUUUAUUUCCUGUAUAUUGUUAUCCCUUAAGUGACUUAUCUCUGUCUCGUCUUCACUCACUGAGAAGACUUAUUGACAAUGUUUUUGUAAAUAAUACAAAUAAACUUUCAGAUUUUGAAGUAUAUCAUGCAAAAUAAUUGGUAUUUCCAGUGUAUUUUUGGUGUGUUGCAGACUAUUUGGUUUUAAUGAAAUGAGUAAAAUAAGUGAAACAUUGUAAUAGGUUUGGCCAUAUUUCAUCAAGAAUGACAGAUCAUAAUCU